rnacentral:rRNA from 1 species
GUGGGGAAUCUUCCGCAAUGGACGAAAGUCUGACGGAGCAACGCCGCGUGAACGAUGACGGCCUUCGGGUUGUAAAGUUCUGUUAUACGGGACGAAUGGUACGACGGUCAAUACCCGUCGUAAGUGACGGUACCGUAAGAGAAAGCCACGGCUAACUACGUGCCAGCAGCCGCGGUAAUCCGUAGGUGGCAAGCGUUGUCCGGAAUUAUUGGGCGUAAAGGGCGCGCAGGCGGCGUCGUAAGUCGGUCCUAAAAGUGCGGGGCUUAACCCCGCGAGGGGACCGAAACUGCGAUGCUAGAGUAUCGGAGAGGAAAGCGGAAUUCCUAGUGUAGCGGUGAAAUGCGUAGAUAUUAGGAGGAACACCAGUGGCGAAAGCGGCUUUCUGGACGACAACUGACGCUGAGGCGCGAAAGCCAGGGGAGCAAACGGGAUUAGAAACCCUUGUAGUCC